rnacentral:rRNA from 1 species
UACGGAGGGGGCACGCGUUAUUCGGAAUUAUUGGGCGUAAAGGGCGCGUAGGCGGCUAGAUGUGUCAGAGGUGAAAUCCCUCGGCUCAACUGAGGAACUGCCUUUGAAACUGUCUGGCUUGAGGCCGGGAGAGGGUAGCGGAAUUCCCAGUGUAGCGGUGAAAUGCGUAGAUAUCGGGAGGAACACCAAUGGCGAAGGCAGCUCGCUGGGACGUGACUGACGCUGAGACGCGAAAGCGUGGGGAGCAAACAGG